CCAACGGCCCUUCUCAGGGCUAUGUACAUAACGUGUAAAAUAAACU
rfam:Camponotus floridanus CamFlo_1.0_3.contig5192, whole genome shotgun sequence.